rnacentral:rRNA from 1 species
UACGUAGGGUGCGAGCGUUGUCCGGAAUUACUGGGCGUAAAGAGCUCGUAGGCGGUUUGUCGCGUCGUCUGUGAAAACCCACGGCUCAACUGUGGGCUUGCAGUCGAUACGGGCAGGCUAGAGUUCGGUAGGGGAGACUGGAAUUCCUGGUGUAGCGGUGAAAUGCGCAGAUAUCAGGAGGAACACCGGUGGCGAAGGCGGGUCUCUGGGCCGAUACUGACGCUGAGGAGCGAAAGCGUGGGGAGCGAACAGG